UCCCGGGAAAGGCAGUGUUGAUUUUUCGUUCUUUGUGAAAGUUGGUUGGCGGUGUGUUCGGGAUUGGGAGGGGGUUCUCGCCCCUUUGGACGGGGAGCCGGAGGCGGAUUAUUCUCUGUGGGGCAACACCAACAAUUUUCCUUCGUUCAACCUGCGGUGAAAGGUCUAUUGGAAGAAAUACCCCAACUGGAAGCAAACCACAGCUGAAGACGGGAACAGCAACAAGUGAACCAGCCCGAGGACUGAGAGCAUCAACUAGAGAGAACGCUCCUGACUCAGAGUUUCCAUUGAUUCAGUCAGGAGAAAGUUUGGUUAAAAAUGACAAGGAAUUUGUCUAUGGGAAUGUCUAACACAACACACAUGUUUUGCUGUCUCUUUUGAUAUUUAAGAAGUGGAGCAAGGGAUUCACUCGAUUAUCCUUCCUGCUCAGACUGUGGCGAGGGAUUUACUCGGUCAUUUCAAUUGAAGGGGUUGUGAUCAGUAUAGACUAUCACUGGUUUCUACGCUGGACAAAUGUCGACCUCAAAUUGCUGUAAUGCCAGGAUUACCAUUCUGAUCGUCCAGAGUGGGCAUGUUUCUGUUCUGACCUUCUCCAUGUUUCUGUGACAGAGAAGCUGGCCAAACCUGACUGGAAGGGGAGUCUGGUAGGAAUGACGAUGGAGCAGCAAUGGCUGGAGUUUCUGGGAGCAACUCGGGAGGUUAAAACAGGUCCAUUUCAUGAAAUAUAAACCAAGAAAUAAAAAGAAACUGGAAUUACCAGAAAGACUCUGCAGACUAAACAGGAUCUGUAAAGGUCGAACUAUGUAACACCCGACGUGUGAGGAGAUUGUAUCGACACUCACAGAUACACUUCCCGUCCAACCAUUUCUGCGAGAGAAAUGAACCACGAAACAAAGAAAGAGCAUGAAAGUCGCUCAGGGAGAAAAAUCAAACUCCCACCCCACCCCCCGGAUCAAGAAGAACGGGAUCCCAAUCAUCAAACCCCAAAACCCACCCCUCCGCACAAAAGGGAACAAUAACAUCGAGCCCCCCACAAAAAAAAUCACCCCUACCCCGCACAACUGCGGUGGAGCCGGUGUCACCAGUGUAGAGGCGGCCGCAUCGGGAGCAGCGGACACAACGGGCGACCCCGGAAGAUUCACAGGUGAAGUGUCGCCUCACCUGGAAGGAUGUUUGGACAACGGAGAGAGUUCGGCCAUCCGGCCCUUUCAUUGUGACACCCCGAACUCCACGUCAAAUCCGUCCAAACGAAUCUGGGUGAAUUUUAAUGACCAAUAUAUAUCGAUCAGCUGUCUGAAUGAUUCCCUGACUCUGAGAGGAAGGGGUAUCUAUGGUCCACACUGUCAGGGUGUUGAGUUUACCAGGAGACAAAGACUGCAGGGACGAAAGGUUUUCUGUUGACUAAUACACUGUGUGUGGACCCCGCUGGCAAUUCUGGUGUUGUGACCCGAAUCGAGACAAACACCACGCUGCCCACUCCACCAACAACACGGCACAGCCAGACACAUAACAGGGGACUUUACAUCCCACAACCCUGGAUUCAGUGAUGAAACCCGUGAUUAAUGUUGUUGUCCCACUGAAAAGUCCAUUAAGGUGCUUUUAAAUGCCUGCGCUCUCCCACAGGUGACGUCACACAGCUCCUACCCCCCACGCGCCUGACGUCACACAUGGGCUCCCCACACCGGGAUCUGCCCUCACGUGCGCGGUGUCUUACGUCACCCACGAGCUUCAUCGGUACAACGGCUGGGCUAAUAAUCACGUGACCAGCCCAUUCCCCCAUCGCUGUCAACAGAGGAGUCAGGAGCUACGUUAUUCCCAUUGGUGCGAAGCGAUGUCAAUCACUGGUUACAACCAGUCACGGAGGCGGACAAGCCGAGUGGGCGUUACCCCGCUGAGUACGUCUCCCGCUCAAGCGCCAACCGCCUCCUCAGAGCGGAGAAAACCUCAAAGUAAAUGUCCGCUUUCUGAUUUAUUUCCAUUUCCCUCCGAGGGAAGUUGGGGCGUUUGUGAAGCGUCUCCCGCGGCCGGAGUCUGAUGUAUCGCUGAGAGAGAAUCGAGGACUGAGAGGUGAACACACUGAAAUGCACAACAUCAUUACCGGUUGAACCAGGGAUCUCAGUCUCUGAAACAGGGAUAGACUGUGCGGGACUGAAAUGAGGGGAAAUGUCUCCAUUCCGAGGGUGGUGAAUGUUUAUAAAUCCCCACCACAGAGUGCGGUGAAGACUCAGUGAUUGUCCGCACGUAAAACAGAUGUGUGGAGACCGAAGGGAUCGAGGAAAUGAGGAUCGGGCAGAAACACAUGGCUGAGAUGGGUGAGCAGCCGCCAUCUUGCUGAUGGUUAGAGGGGCUGAAUUGCCUCCUGCUGUUUCUCACUUGAUGUUUCAGUGUUCCUGUCCAGCAAGGUUCUGGAGGAAUGUGAAUAGAAAUUAGUGUUUAGAAACACAAAACUGAUUUAAAUGAAACGUGAACAUUUCCUUUUUGAGUCUGAAUUAUGUUUUGGACCUGGAUGGGAAUUGAGCCGGUGACUCUGUGACCUGGACGUGGAGGGAAAAGGAUCGGGGAAGAUAUGGUGUGGAAAAAUAAUCAUGUAUCUGGGGUAAAUAUGGAAUAAUGUGGGGAAUGCGGUGGAUGGGUCGGGCAGCAUGUGAGGGGCGAGGAGCAGAGUCAACAGUUCAGGAGGGAGUCCCUCCACCCGUCACCUGAUCCCGGUUCCUGUUCACAUAUUUCUGCAGAUCUGCAGCAUCUGCGGGUCACUGUUCUAUGUGUCCGUGUAGCUUCAUCUUUCCCCGUUCAGACAAGGCAGUGAGAUCUGGAUCUGUCACGUCCUCUCGUUGUGGGUGGACAAUGUCUUUUUUCUCUGCAACACUUUCUGCAUGUUUCAUUCCACUGUUUUGUGGUGCUGAAGUGCUGCCGAUGUUUCUGGGUGUCUGACCCGUUUAUGUGAGAAUUUAGCCAUUUGUAUUUAUCUGAGCUUCUCAUAAAUGUGUAAAGUUUAGUUCAGCUUCACUUCAGAAUUUCCAAAGCAACACCCAGUCAGUCAAAUUGCUCCACACAAUUAAAAUAGCUUAUUACUUUUUUCUCGAUUUUUGUACUAUAUAUAUGUAUAUUCUUAUUUUAAAUCACAAUUUUUCAAAACUAUUUUUAUCAAUUAGGUUCUGCUGCUACCGCAGGGACAAAUUUCAUGACACAUGCCGGUGCUAUUAAACCUGAUUCUGAUAUUGAUAUGGGAGACCAACCACCGGUCACCUGAUCCCAGUUACCGCAGAUCGUAAUGUGAGAUUGAAGUAUUUUCCAUAUAUUUGCUUUCCACAGAAAUGACAACAGUUCAGUUUCCUUCUGUGGUUCCAGAGCAGAAGCUCAGUCUGUCUAAUAUUUCCACACAAUUAAAAUGGGAAAUUUGUUUAUUAUCAUCAUGUACUGAGCUACAGUGAAAAUCUUGCCUGAUGUACCAUCCAGACAGAUGGAUACAUUUCAACAGUACAUUGAGCUGAUAUACAUCAAAAUAAUCACUGUAACAAAGCAUUAUGGCUGCAGAGAAAGUGCGGUGCAGAUAGACAUAUGGUGAAGGGUCACGUCCAGUUACAUUGUGAGGUUGAGUCCAUUUUAUCAUUCAUUUGGCUUAUAACUGCAGACAGGAAGCCGUCCUUCAGCCUGGUGUUACGCACUUUAAGGCUUUUGUAUCUCUUCCCAAUGGGAUAGCAGGUUUGCAGCAAGAAUGUCUGUGGUUGUGAGGAUCUUUGAGUCCGUGGCCUGUUUUUCCGAGGCAGGGGAAGUAUAGGAAGAGUCCAUGGAGGGGAGGCUUGUUUCUCUGAUGUUCUCUGCAGUUCCUUGCAGUCAUGGGCAGAGCAGUAGCUAGACGAAGGCGUGAAGUGUCGACAAGGAGCUCAGAGACCUCGGCCUUCACCCUGCCUUGUGUAGCUGGAUCCUGGACUUCCUGUCAGAUUACCGGCAGGUGGUAAGAGUAGGCUCCAUCUCCUCUGUCUCUCUGACCCUCAGCACACAUACCCCACAGGGCUGUCUCUUUGGCGCCCUCCUUUACUCUCUGUGCACCCAUGACUUGUGUUGCCACCCACAGCUCCAAUCUGAUAAUUAAAUUUGCUGACAGCACUACAUUGAUUGGCCUAAUCUGAAAUACCGAUAACAAUCAAUCAAAUGCCUUCUGACAAGGCUCGGUUCAAACAAACUUUUCACCCUUCUUCAGGAGAUUGGUCAGAGGAAGAGCGAUAGCAGCAGAGUUCUUACGGUAAUAUCCAUCCAUUCCCAGAAACCUUCUAACAGCCUUCUUUGCAGUCAGAAUAGGAACUUGAGAAAUUGCCUGGACUUUUGCCCGAACAGGAGCCAACUUCCUUUGACCUACAACAUAGCCAAGACAGGUCACACUGGCAUGGCCAAAUUCACUCUUAGCCAAGUUAACUGUAAGGUUGUCCUAGGAAAGCCUGUCAAACAGCUUUUCUACUGCAGAGAUAUGCUCUUCCCGAGUGUCACUCCCUGUGACUAAGUCAUCAAUAUAGGUAUCUGUGUGUUCUCACCCUCGAAUUACAAAAUCAAUCAUUCUCUGGGAUGCUCCUGGAGCAUUUUUCCUUCCAAAAGGCAAAACAUUGUAUUCAUACAACCCAGAUGCUGUCACAAACACAGAAAUGUCUCUACCUCUGUCCGUCAAUGGAACACACCAAUACCCUUUCAACAGAUCAAUCUUUGUAAGAUAUUAGCCAUUCCAACCUUAUCGAUGCAAUCAUCCACCCUAGGGAUAGGAUAGGCAUCAGUUUUUGUUACUGCAUUUACCUUUCUACAAUCAGUGCAAAAUCUAACACUACCAUCAUGUUUGGGCACAAUAAUGCAGAGUGACUCCAAUCUCAUUUUGAAGGCCUAAUAAUACCAUUCUCCAGCAUAUACUCAAUUCCCUGGUCAGCCAAUUUACACUUUUCGACGUUCAUGCGAAGUGGGUGUUGUUUAAUCGGUUUGGCUUGACCAACAUCUACAUCAUGUACUGCGACCGUGGUUUGCCUGGGAACAUCGGGAAAUAAAUCUUUGUACUUCAGAAUUAAUUCCUUCAGCUGUUGUUGUUGCUUUGGCUGCAGAUGAGCCAACUCGUUAUCAAUGUUUUCUAGAACAACCGAGUUCAUUAGCCUAACUGGGACCAUGUUUGGCUUGUGAAAAGUCUCAGACGAGUCAAUUGUUUCAUUCUCAGGGUUACCAGAUUCAUUUGUUUUGACAACAAUACUCACAGAUGGUGCCUGCUUGUCAAAAAAGGCUUUAUCAUAUUUAUGUGCACCACCUGUGUUAGUUUACGUCAGUCGGGUGUUUUAAUAACAGAAUUCACAUUAUUAAUUUGAGAGACUAUCUCAUACGGUCUAUUGAAUUUCGCCUGAAGUGGAUUCAUCAACAUAAGGCAAGCACCUUAUCUCCCACCUGGUAUUUUCUUUCGCGAGCCCUGUUAUCAAACCAACACUUCAUUUUGUUUUGAGAAAUCUUUAAGUUUUGUCUCGCUAGACUACAGGCUUGGUGUAGUUUAUUUUUGAACUUCAAAACAUAGUCUAACGAGUUAACAUGUACAUCCCCAUCAAUCCACGGUUCAUUUUAACAAGGUCAAAGGUCACUCUGCGACCAAAUACAAGUUCAAAUGGAGUAAAGCCCAGUGAUUCCUGUACUGACUCUCUUUCUGUGGACAAAAUCAAAUGUAUUCCUUCAUCUGGACAAAAGCAAAAGUAUCCCUUCAUCCCAGUCUUUUCCAUUUUCAACACAAUAUGUCUUAAUCAUUGUUUUGAGGGUAGAAUGAAAUCUUUCUAAAGCCCCUUCUGGUUCCGGAUGGUAUGCAAAUGAUGCAAUCUGUUUUGCUCCCAAUUCAUAAACUACCUGCUUGAAUAAUGCAGAUAUACAAAUACAUCCUUGAUCAGACUGUAUUUCUUUAGACAAAUCGAAUAAAGUGAAAAUCUUGGUAAGAGCCUUCACCACAGUUUUAGCUUUAAUAUUUCUGAGAGGCAUUGCCUCUGGGAAUCUGGAUGUAGUACACAUAAUAGUUAGCAGAUACUGAUGGCCAGCUUUAGACUUUGGCAAUGGGCCAACACAAUCCACUAUAACUUUGGAAAAGGGUUCACCGAAUGCAGGUACAGGCCACUGGGGUGAGCUCAUUAGGUUUACCCACAACUUGACAAGUGCCUUUUGGAAACUCUUAUUCAGGGUAAACAUAACUUCAUGAAUUAAAGCAAACUGAUCUGCUAAUCCAGCAGAUUCCUGCGGAGUGGCAGCAUCAUUUCCAUCUAAAUACGUCUUUAUGUCAUCAGGGACGCACCUUUGGAAUUCUUCAAUUAAAACCAAAUCUCUCAA